rnacentral:rRNA from 1 species
GUUGAACGCUGGCGGCGGGCCUAAUACAUGCAAGUCGAGCGGUCAGACGAGACGCUUUCUUCUUUGACGUUAGCGGCGCACGGGUGAGUGACAUGUGUAUAACCUACCUAUAAGACUGGGAUUACUUCGUGAAACCGGUGCUAAUACCGGCUUAUAUAUUGAACCGCAUGGUUGAAGAGUUAAGGACGGUUUUGCUGUCACUUAUACAUGGAUCCGCGCGGCAUUAGCUAGUUGGUAAGGUAACGGCUUACCAAGGCAACGAUGCGUAGCCGACCUGAGAGGGUGAUCGGCCACACUGGAACUGAGACACGGUCCAGACUCCUACGGGAGGCAGCAGUAGGGAAUAUUCCGCAAUGGGCGCAAGCCUGAUGGAGCCACGCCGCGUGAGUGAUGAAGGUCUUCGGGUCGUAAAGCUCUUUUAUUGGGGAUGAACAAAUGUGUAAGUAUCCCUGCGCGCAUUGACGGUACCCGCAGAGAAAGCACCGGCUAACUCCGUG